UACGUAGGUGGCAAGCGUUGUCCGGAAUUAUUGGGCGUAAAGCGCGCGCAGGCGGUCCUUUAAGUCCGAUGUGAAAGCCCACGGCUCAACCGUGGAGGGUCAUUGGAAACUGGGGGACUUGAGUACAGAAGAGAAGAGUGGAAUUCCACGUGUAGCGGUGAAAUGCGUAGAGAUGUGGAGGAACACCAGUGGCGAAGGCGACUCUUUGGUCUGUAACUGACGCUGAGGCGCGAAAGCGUGGGGAGCGAACCGG
rnacentral:rRNA from 1 species